CUCAUGAAAUAUAGGAAGAAUAAUAUUUUUCUUUAAAAUAAAAUUUAUCGUAAGGCUUAGCAACAAUUGUGUGUAAAUCAUGCUGGUGCAUUUUAUUUUUGAGAUGAGUGAUUUUGACCAAAGUUUGAAAAUAUUUCAAACAGAUUUUAAAAUGGAUUUGAAAUAGGUUUUGAAGUAAAAGAAGAAAAAAAAGAGAAAAGAAAGAAGACCUCACCUCCCCCUGAAUCUCGGCCCAAACUGAGCCAAGGCCUGACCCCCACCCCCUCCUUCCUUCUGAUCCUUGGCAGGCCGGCCCAGCGCGCCAUCCCCUUCCUUCUCCCCCUUUCUUUCUCCUGGCGGCCCAAACUCUCUCCCCUCUUCUCACGCUGACAAGACGGACACACGCGUAAGUGCCUUCUUCCUCCUCGAGCCGUAUGCGACAGGGACUCCCAGAGGGAAAUCGAUCUUGGGUACUCAGGAUUUCUCUUGCCCAAC
rnacentral:lncRNA from 1 species